UGUCACGAACGCAGGAUUGACGCACGACCUAAGUCCACUCCUCCCCUCCACAAACCUAGAUUAGAACUAGUCGCCGCCGCUUUGGAUUGCCAUCUCGAUUUGGCCAUGAUCAGCUAAUCGAGGCAACUGUGAUGGAUAUGGACGCGGGACGCUGCACCGGCGCUGAAGAUGAAAGGCGCGGAUGCAUCCGAUCUAUGGCUGGUUGAAGACGACCCGGAUUCCCCGUUGCCUUCCGCGCCACCAGGAGUCGCCGCCUGGUACGUGCCUACCGAACCCGAUCCAGCUCAUCCCUUGUUCUCCUGGGCUCAAAUUUGCUAUGCGAUGCGCCGCCUGUUGUGCCCGGCGUCGUAGUGCCGGUGGUGCCGGUGGAGUUGGCUCUUGGGUCCAACGACGAGAGGGCGAUCGUGUUGUACAGGCCUGCCAAGUCCACACAGAGCCUCCUGCUCGUCUCGCUCUGGCCGUGCGCCCCUCUCCGCCUUAGCCCGAUUGGAUCAAUUGGCACCAUUCUGUAAGAGGCGAGCAAACCACCGAGCGUUGUUCACAGGAUGUGGUGAUGCAGAAAAUAUACUGGUGCAGUCUGACGCACUGCAGGAUUUUGCGAUAACAUGCAUGUAGCCAAUUAUGGUUGUUCAGAGUCUCUCCACACGUAUGACGGAUCUACAUUGUUGAUUCCCAGAACUACAUUUUUACAGGAGAUAUGCGAAGGGGCAAAGAUGAGCUCUGGAGUGGCUUGUGGCCGUGCACAGCUCACAAAUACUGCACAUAAAAGGGUUGUAUUUUCUGAUUUCCUCAUGUAUUUCCAUCAGUACGACUUGUGAGUGUGAUGAGCUAUUUCAGUUGGACACCAAAAAUUUCUUGGGAACUGACUUGCUUUGAUGUACCACGAAGUUAAGUACACCCACAAAAAAAAAACAAGUAGCUAGUAAAAUUUACUAUAUACUUCACACUGUUUUAGAUACUUUGACACUGAAACGAAAU